CGCUGAGGCACGAAAGCGUGGGUAGCAAACAGGAUUAGAUACCCUGGUAGUCCACGCCGUAAACGAUGGAUACUAGGUGUAGGGGGUAUCAACUCCCCCUGUGCCGCAGUUAACACAAUAAGUAUCCCGCCUGGGGAGUACGGUCGCAAGAUUAAAACUCAAAGGAAUUGACGGGGGCCCGCACAAGCAGCGGAGCAUGUGGUUUAAUUCG
rnacentral:rRNA from 1 species